CACGUGAGAUGGAUUGGUACCUUCGGGAACUUGAACACAGGUGCUGCAUGGGUGUCGUCAGUUCGUAUCGUGAGAUGUUGGGUUAAGUCCAACAACGAGCGCAAACCUUGUCCAUAGUUGACAGCACGUAAUGGUGGGAACUUUAAGGAGACCGCCGGUGACAAACCGGAGGAAGGUGGGGAUGACGUCAAGUCAUCAAGGCCCUUACGGCCAGGGCUACACACGUACUACAAUGGUAGGGACAGAGGGCUGCAAGCCGGCGACGGUAAGCCAAUCCCAGAAACCCUAUCUCAGUCCGGAUUGGAGUCUGCAACUCGACUCCAUGAAGUCGGAAUCGCUAGUAAUCGCAGAUCAGCAUUGCUGCGGUGAAUACGUUCCCGGGCCUUGUACACACCGCCCGUCACACCAUGGGAGUUUGUUGCACCAGAAGCAGGUAGCUUAACCUUCGGGAGGGCGCUGCCAACAGUGACUAAUUGCCA
rnacentral:rRNA from 1 species